AAUGCCUCAAAAUUAGCUGUUACGCAUCAAAAAAAAACCCCAAAACCAAGACAAAGAAUGGAGUAGGCUACCACAAACAUUAACUAAAAGUGUGUAUAACAAGAAAUCUAAAAUAAAUUUAGACCUUUUGGACACGCUAAUGAAGGGCCAAAGAUUACCUUAUCGAAAGACUGAUCUCAGUCAUUGUUUCAAGAUUGUUUUCAUAUUCGAUCUUAGCUACCCAGGGACCAGGUCUGGAAUUCACAUUUCAACCACCCAUGGAAACCAGAGGGAGUGUGAUGGCUUUUGAUGAAAAGCAGCACACUUCUUCAAGCGCUGAAACACCUGGCAUCCAAGAAAUGCCAUCAGCUGUACCUGCUUUCCCAAGACCAGCCCUGAAGCCCUCAUCUGUUCCUUCUCUGGAAAUCACGAGGACAGUGAUGGUUACUCAGAGACCAAAGCUGAAAUCUACUUCUCCUUACCUUGCAAGCCAAAGAACAGUGGAGGCUACUCGAAGACCAAGGCUGAAGUCCACCACUCCUUCCUCCCUGGCAACCCAGCAAACCGUGAUGGGUAACUAGCAAAACCCCUUCUUUUGCCAUUUUCCCCU
rnacentral:lncRNA from 1 species